ACCUGAUCAAUUUAUUAGUGUCUAAGGAGAGCAAUGGGGGGAUCCUCACCAUACUUACCUGGCCAAUUUGAUUAAGCGAUCUUGAUAUUGAAAAAUCUUAAUAUUGAAAAUACUACUAAGGGCCUUCCUUCAUGCUAGAUUAAUGUUACAUCAUGAACUAUGGCUAGUUUGUUGUGUUAACACAAGGCUUGUCCAAAGGAUUGAUAUAACAUAAUCCUG
rnacentral:lncRNA from 1 species